rnacentral:lncRNA from 1 species
AAAUGAAACAUUUAACCUCAUAUUUUGUUCAUAGAGAAAAUACAUUAAAACUUCCUAAACAUGUCACUCCAACUUACUUUAACACUCUAAUUUUACAUUUAAUUAUUUAUCCCCUUAAUUUCGUUUUGAGCGAAUAUAACUCCCCCACAAAAAUGGAGAACCACACAUGCAGUGGGAGGUGGUUUACACGCUGUUAAUUUUUUUCAAAAAUAUUUUCUAAAGUUAUUUUUUUUCUUUUUCAUCCAUCAACUUCAAUUUUUCUUUUUCAUCCAUCAACUUCACGAGAAUACACAUCCAGAUACACUCCUCUCACCACAGACCUACACGGACACAUAUUCCCCCAAUUUCCAUGGAAGAGGUAGAGAGCAACACAAUACACACGACACAUACAUACGCACAAAUAUUGAUAUAUACACACACUGAACAAAAGGAAGAAAGGAGUAAGCUGACUUACUCAUUUUAUAUACACACAGAGAAUUCAUUCACUCACACAGCAAUAGGAGAAUACGCACACACACCAAAAAUCGGAGAAAAAUAAUCAAGAACAGUGGUAGAUAAAUAUUUGGGUCUGAUUUUCUUGUGAAAUCUAGCCGGAAAACGUCAUCCCACAAUCGCCUAUCGUUUCUUUCCAGUCUGAAUUCACCGGUGAAGCUCACCGAAGCUUCACCAUAGUCAAAUCCAUCGAAAAACGUCAUUGACAGUGACCAACACCUCAAAAAGGUAAAAUCGGCGAAUUCCAUCGAAAUUGGUUCCACCAACAAGGACUAGCGUAGUCUAUUUUAUCAACGCACCAUUGCUACUCUUCAUCCUCUUCAUCAUAACUACCACCAACUCACAAAUUCACCACCACUGUUAAAACCAUAUUUGUGGUCGUUAACUUCAUAGUACCCAUCACCAAGGCCCAAGAGCAAUACAACCUUCAUCUUUGUCAAUUUCAGAAUCUCCACCAUCAUCGUUAAUAUGAUUCACCCUCGCUGACAAUUCCACAAUACCCAACAACAACACCAAUGGCAACUAAAAUUAAAAGAAAUUAAAGAACAAUAACAGGAGAUGAGAUGCAAGUGGUGCGUGAAGAGGCUUAACAGUGCCGCCACCGAUUCCAUUAAAUUCGCAUCAAAUCGUUCAAUUUUCUCAUGAAUUAAAUUUCAAUUUCUUCAUGAAUUGAAUUUUAAUUUCUCCAUGAAUUGAAUUUUCAUUUUCUCAUGGAUCGAACAUCUUCCUCGGAGUCUUAAGAUGUAACAAUUACAUUCACCUCCAUAGACAUCUCUGACAAGCAAUUUGUCCUAUCACCUAUGUCAAGAAAAUUCGAUGGAAUAUAAGAUGUGGGAUUGGCGAUGGCGGAACAAUGAAGGAUCAUGUACGGUGGUGGGUGGAGAAAUAGUUUGUGAUAGAAGAAAAGGGUGGAGAGAGAAGAAAUAUAAAAAUUAAUGAAUAAAUUGGAAUUUGUUUAUUUUUAUUAAUUUUUUUGUUCCUCCACGCGUGUUUUGGAGAGUGAAAACACUCUCCUUAUUAGAGGAGGUGUUAAAUUCACUUGAAAUAAAAUUACGGGGCUAAAUAAUUAUAUAUAAAGUUAGAGUGCUAAAGCAAGUUGGAG